CAGAAGCGGCGGAGGUUGGCGUGCGCUCCGCUCCCGGAGCUGAGCGGACCUGAUGCGAUCGCCAUUUAGCAACGGCACAGACAGCGACGGCGCCGUGACGUCACGCGGAGGCUUUCACCGACUGUGGGUUUGCGCAGUGUGAGUUAAGAUUCCUGAAAGUGGGUGAGACAAAAGCAUGUGAGAGGCCCACACCACACCAUUGUCCCCUCGCCACAGAGCUGGAAACGUGUUGUCCGGUAUCCCGUUUCGUUUCGCAACAUUUCCUUCUCGAUGACACUCGCCACUCAGGGAGCAAGACCGCACAAGGCUUCAAAUGUUCUCAUUGACAGUGAAAGCGGAAAUCUUAAAUGGGAUUUCCCGUGGUGCGUAUACAUUUGACCGAGUAAUGACUUUGGAACUGUUUUCAUCCAAAAAAUGAGUUAGCAUUUCAUGCCCACACGUCAAAUGUGAAAUGAAAUCUCUUGUCACUACGACUGCCGAGCGCACGGGUGUCAAACCGGUGGUCUGGGGGGCCAGAUCCGGCCCGCCGCAUCAUUUUACGUGGCCCGCGAAAGCAAAACAUGUGCAUCGACUCUGUGUUUCUUGUGAAAAUACCAAAAAUGCAAACUGUCUUCACUUGUAAUAACGUCAUGAUACUACAAGCAUUUUAUGUUACCAGUCCCCCUUUUAAAUGUCAUAAUCGUUGAACAAACAUUUUUUUUAUUGGCUUCCGAUUUCAAAACUAGUUGUCCAUCGUUGUGUAUGUGUAAUUAUAUGAGGUGAUAAUUCAUUUUUUUUUUUUGUUAUGGGUUUGCAGUUACAACGGCCUUUCGAAGGAAGUCAGAACUACAAUGUGGCCCGUGACAAAAAUGAGUUUGACACCCUUGGGCCUACUGGAAGGCAGUAGUGGAAAAAAAAAACUCUAUUUCUACGACAGUCAUUCUACUAGUGCCCUAAAUUGUCUUACUAGUUGAGGUCCAUGUACUAGAGCACGCUUUGUCCUCACUAGUAGGACAAUUUUGACAUGCUGGUAGGACAACUACAUGGGACUAGUGAGGCGAAACUAGUUGACAACUGUGAACUACUCAUGACAUUAUAGAAUUCUACCAGUUAACAUUAAGCACUUUACUCAUAGUACUAGUACUGCGCAGAUGUCAACUAGUGCAGUUUUAGUAGCACAACGAGAUGUUACUCGUAAGGCAAAACUGUGCACUAGUUGACCUCUGUAUGCUACUAGUGACAUGAAAUUCAGUAAUUGACAGCUCACCUAGUGUCACAGUGAGCCCCCCGCUCCCCGAGUGACUGUUGUACCUAGGGGCCUCGACACUAGUAUAGCGAACAAUCGCCGUCUUCCUUUGCAGAGUUUUACACAGGCCUGUGGGAAGAUGGAGCUCGUGAUACGGAGAGAAAUAUGGCAACAAACUGCCAGGGUAAAAUGCUGCAGCCCUCCCCUCUGCCUCACGCACCUUGAGUGCUGACAGUGGAGCGCUACCGUUGCCCCCCUCUUGCCCGUUGCCCACCACCAGCGCCAGCAGCACCGGCCCCCUUCCCUUCCCUUCCCUUCCCUUGGCUGUGUGGAAUGGGGUUUACGUAACCCACUGCAGUCUGAGCUAGCGCAGCGCAGCGCAUCGCUCCUCACAAUGCCUUCCCUUUGCAAGACACAAGCCUUUUGCAACAUAGUAGUAGCUGUCCUACUAGUAUACAGAAAGAUCAUGCAGCGCAGGUGUCAAACUCAGGGCCCCGGGGGCCAGAUCUGGCCCACCGCAUCAUUUCAUGUGGCCCGCGAAACCAAAACAUGAUUAUUGCUAUAAUCUGUACCAAAAUUUCAAAUUGUCAUAUAUAGUUUUUCAUACCAAAACCCCUUUUACAGUAAGUUCAACAAUAGUUGAACAAGCUAUUAUCCUUGACUUCCAAUUUUUAAAACUAGUUAGCCUUCAAUGUGUUCUGUACAUGUAUUCAUAUGAUGAAGAGAAUAAACAUUUACUGUAUGUGGUUUCACAGUCAUAACGGCCCCCUCAGGAAAAGCGUAACUACAAUGUGGCCUGUAAUGAAAAUGAGUUUGGCAACCCUCUCAAACAGUAAUGGAACGCAGUAGUAGGGGGGGAGAAAAACACAAAACAAAAACAUUACUAGUAAGAUACAGUCAUUCCACUGGUGUGCAGUCUUAUUAGUGAGGAUGGGCACUUUUGUGUCACUAGUCGGGUCCAUGAAGCUAUUAAGUGUGUGACACAUGCUUACUAGUUGGGCGUAGUAGUGUUACCCGCGCAGCACAGUAGCUAACUAGCAAGCUUUAAUUGUGUACAAGUAGGCCAAAAGUGGCACGAGUGGUUAAAAAAAAUAAUGUGACGAGUAAGACGCAGUCGUUCUACUAGUGCGCCCCGGUCAUGUUACUAGUGUGCUAAUUGGAACUCAAGGCUAUUAAACAAAAGCUCAAAUGGCUUUCUAUGAGAACAAUUUACCCUUUUUUAUACUACUACUACACUGGCAGCGUUGUUAAAAAUGCUCAACAUUUUUGAAGAAAAUCCAAGAGCCUCCUUUGUAGAUAAAAUCUUGUAACCUUAACUGAGUGAAUAGUACUCAGGGGGUCGCUUACACGCAUCAAAGCUGUGUGUGUGUGUGUGUGUGUGUGCGCGGGCUACAGCCUUUACUGGUUGCCAGACGAUUGCAAGGAUAUGGCCAAACUUAAAGGACACAUACAGUGUUAUGGAAAAUUGCCGUUUUAAUUGCUUUGAUACAAAUUCAGGGAACCCCCCGUGGAUUGUCGACAGUAUACAGGCACGCCAAAACUUUCUAAUUGUGGUACCACAUUGUGCCACAACACGCCAGGUGGCACCGAGGUCCGCUGAAAGAGAUGCCACGUGUACUAAAGAAUGACUGUAACCUCGAUGCUAAUUUCCAUGAGCUGGC